GUGUCAGCAGCCGCGGUAAUACGAAGGGUGCAAACGUUGCUCGGAAUCAUUGGGCGUAAAGCGCACGUAGGCGGCCUGUUAAGUCGGAUGUGAAAUCCCUCGGCUCAACCGAGGACGUGCAUUCGAAACUGGCAGGCUCGAGUAUGGAAGAGGGUCGCGGAAUUCCCGGUGUAGAGGUGAAAUUCGUAGAUAUCGGGAGGAACACCAGUGGCGAAGGCGGCGACCUGGGCCAAUACUGACGCUGAGGUGCGAAAGCGUGGGGAGCAAACAGGAUUAGAAACCCCCGUAGUCC
rnacentral:rRNA from 1 species